rnacentral:rRNA from 1 species
CUCCAAUAGCGUAUAUUAAAGUUGCUGCAGUUAAAAAGCUCGUAGUUGAAUUUCGGGACUAAUAUGUUGGUCGUGCCUCGGUACGUACUGAUAUUUUUGGUUUCUCCCUUCUGACGAACCUUGAUGUCAUUAAUUUGGUGUCUUGGGAAAUCAGGACUGUUACUUUGAAAAAAUUAGAGUGUUUAAAGCAGGCUCACGCUUGAAUACAUUAGCAUGGAAUAAUGAAAUAGGACGUUUGAUUCUAUUUUGUUGGUUUCUAGGAUCGACGUAAUGAUUAAUAGGGAUAGUUGGGGGCAUUAGUAUUCAAUUGUCAGAGGUGAAAUUCUUGGAUUUAUUGAAGACUAACUACUGCGAAAGCAUUUGCCAAGGAUGUUUUCAUUAAUCAAGAACGAAAGUUAGGGGAUCGAAGACGAUCAGAUACCGUCGUAGUC